AAAUUUAUUAAAAAAAAAACACGGAAGGGGAACGAUCCCCUGAAAACAUGUAAGGGAAGCUUAGUAGCCAUGUCACUGAGGCCAAACGAGAGAACCAAGGUCCGCCGUAACUGAUACAAGGUGGCGGUGGAAGCCGAUGAGGGUCGCCGGCGACGCGAGGAGAGCUUGUAGAAGAAGCACCGCGAAGGCCUUCAAGCCACUCACCAGCAAUCCUUCUCUUCCUCUCUCCAUGCCUCCGCCGCCACCACCGUAAAAAAGAAGUUGGAGAGUCUUCCUUUGAUGGUUUCUGGGGUUUGGUCUACUGAUAGCAACUUGUAAUUGGAGGCCACUACUCAAUUUCGAAAGCUGCUUUCUAUUGGUAUUUUUAACUUAUGUAUUCUCAUUGAUGAUGUUUUAUGUAAAAUAAUGAAUGUGAAUGAUAAUAUAUGUAUAUUGGUGAAAUUUUGGAAUUACAGAAAGAAGCCCUCCAAUUGAGGAAGUAAUCCAAUUGUCGAGUUUCUUGUCAA